CAGGCGCAGUCUGAGCAGCACGCCGCGUGGGUGAAGAAGGCCUUCGGGAUCUGUAAAGCCCUGUCAGUUGGGAAGAAUGGCCAUGGGGGUUAAUACCCUUUUGGGAGUGACGUUACCACCAGAGAACGCACCGGCUAAUACCGUGCCAGCAGCCGCGAUAAUA
rnacentral:rRNA from 1 species